rnacentral:rRNA from 1 species
UGGGGAAUUUUGGACAAUGGGGGAAACCCUGAUCCAGCCAUCCCGCGUGUGCGAUGAAGGCCUUCGGGUUGUAAAGCACUUUUGGCAGGAAAGAAACGUCAUGGGUUAAUACCCCGUGAAACUGACGGUACCUGCAGAAUAAGCCCCGGCUAACUACGUGCCAGCAGCCGCGGUAAUACGUAGGGUGCAAGCGUUAAUCGGAAUUACUGGGCGUAAAGCGUGCGCAGGCGGUUCGGAAAGAAAGAUGUGAAAUCCCAGAGCUCAACUUUGGAACUGAAUUUUUAACUACCGGGCUAGAGUGUGUCAGAGGGGGGGGGAAUUCCGCGUGUAGCAGUGAAAUGCGUAGAUAUGCGGGGGAACACCGGUGGCGAAGGCAGCCUCCUGGGGUAACACUGACGCUCAUGCACGAAAGCGUGGGGAGCAAACAGG